GAUCGAUUGAAGGGUAUGAAUAUGAUGGGUUUUGUGAGUUUUUUCAAGCGGGAAAGGGAGGCGCGUGGGGUUCAAAUGAGGACGGGCGUGGGUUGAUGGUGGCAGAGGAGGGCGGCGUUGUUGACGGAUCGAUUGAAGGGUAUGAAUAUGAUGGGGUGGACGGUGAGAGUCUGGCGAGGUUUCUAGGAGAAGGAUUUAUUGACUGACCAUUGAGUAAACGUGAAUACUCAAUUAUUUAUUUUUAUUAGGGUUUUUGGUUGGUGGUGGCGGUGGUGGUUAAGGUCAAAUGUGAAGUUGUUAGUAACACAAAAGAAUACAGUAAUAUACACAAAAACGAUGUAAUAGAGCAAAGCAGAAGCAAGCAGCUGCCCUUUUUGUGGAAUGCUAAACCCAAAUGGUUUCCUCUCUCUCUCUUGCAUCUUGCAGCUAGCUUUUGUAAUCACUAAUUAGUAAUUAGUGCUUUUAAUCCUUUCAUAAUUUAACACUUCAAUUAUGGGUAUGAAAAAAAAAAAAAAAAAAAAAAAAA
rnacentral:misc_RNA from 1 species